GACGAACGCUGGCGGCGUGCUUAACACAUGCAAGUCGAACGGAAAGGCCCUGCUUGCCGGGUACUCGAGUGGCGAACGGGUGAGUAACACGUGGGUGAUCUGCCCUGCACUUCGGGAUAAGCCUGGGAAACUGGGUCUAAUACCGGAUAGGAGCCAUUUUUAGUGUGAUGGUUGGAAAGUUUUUUCGGUGUAGGAUGAGCUCGCGGCCUAUCAGCUUGUUGGUGGGGUAAUGGCCUACCAAGGCGGCGACGGGUAGCCGGCCUGUGAGGGUGGACGGCCACAGUGGGACUGAGAGACGGCCCAGACUCCUACGGGAGGCAGCAGUGGGGAAUAUUGCACAAUGGGCGCAAGCCUGAUGCAGCGGCGCCGCGUGGGGGAUGACGGCCUUCGGGUUGUAAACUCCUUUCGCUAGGGACGAAGCUUUUUGUGACGGUACCUAGAUAAGAAGCACCGGCUAACUACGUG
rnacentral:rRNA from 1 species